rnacentral:rRNA from 1 species
UACAGAGGUCCCAAGCGUUGUUCGGAUUCACUGGGCGUAAAGGGUGCGUAGGCGGGUCUUUAAGUCAGGGGUGAAAUCCUGGAGCUCAACUCCAGAACUGCCUUUGAUACUGAAGAUCUUGAGUUCGGGAGAGGUGAGUGGAACUGCGAGUGUAGAGGUGAAAUUCGUAGAUAUUCGCAAGAACACCAGUGGCGAGGGCGGCUCACUGGCCCGAUACUGACGCUGAGGCGCGAAAGCGUGGGGAGCAAACAGG